rnacentral:sRNA from 1 species
UGUAUCUGAAGUCUGACGAGGAUGAGAACCUCCGGGGGCAAGAGGUUCGACUCGAGCGAAGCGAGAGAACGUUGCGUCAGCAACGGCCCGCAGGGCGAGUCAUCCUCUAUCACCGGCAG